rnacentral:rRNA from 1 species
AACGAACGCUGGCGGCAGGCCUAACACAUGCAAGUCGAGCGAGAUCUUCGGGUCUAGCGGCGGACGGGUGAGUAACGCGUGGGAAUAUGCCUCUUGGUACGGAAUAGCCUCGGGAAACUGGGAGUAAUACCGUAUGUGCCCUUUGGGGGAAAGAUUUAUCGCCAAGAGAUUAGCCCGCGUUGGAUUAGGUAGUUGGUGGGGUAAUGGCCUACCAAGCCGACGAUCCAUAGCUGGUUUGAGAGGAUGAUCAGCCACACUGGGACUGAGACACGGCCCAGACGCCUACGGGAGGCAGCAGUGGGGAAUCUUAGACAAUGGGGGCAACCCUGAUCUAGCCAUGCCGCGUGAGUGAUGAAGGCCUUAGGGUUGUAAAGCUCUUUCAGCUGGGAAGAUAAUGACGGUACCAGCAGAAGAAGCCCCGGCUAACUCCGU